rnacentral:rRNA from 1 species
UUCGCCCUUAGAGUUUGAUCCUGGCUCAGAGCGAACGCUGGCGGCAGGCUUAACACAUGCUAGUCGAACGGGCACUUCGGUGUGAGUGGCAGACGGGUGACUAACACGUGGGAACGUGACCUUUUGGUUCAGAUCAACUGAUGGAAACUUCAUCUAAUACCCGAUUACCUCUCACGGGAAAAGAUUUAUCGCCGAAAGAUCGGGACGCGACCGAUUAGAUUUUUGGUAUGACAAUGGCCUACCAAGGCGACCAUCUUUAGCCUCGGUCUGAUAGGAUGAUCAUCCGCCUUGGGACUAGAUACACCGCCCGCACUCCUACAGGAGGCAGGGGUGUGUAAUAGUGGACAAUGCGGGCUACUCUCAUCCAGCCAAGCUUUCGUGAGUGAUGGACGUUCUACAGGUUGUACAAGCUCUUUUGGGUCAGGAGAGCAUGACUGGACCACUAGAAUAAACUGCUGCUAACUUCAUGACUUCGGGCCCUGUAAUACUAACGGUGCUAGUGAUCCUCCUAAUCGAUGGGCUUCUGAGGUGCGUCGGCGGAGGUCUUACUCAUACGUGAAAUCCAGGAGCAUCACUCCAGAUCUGCCUGCGAU